rnacentral:rRNA from 1 species
UACGUAGGGUGCAAGCGUUGUCCGGAAUUAUUGGGCGUAAAGAGCUCGUAGGCGGUUUGUCGCGUCUGCUGUGAAAACGCGAGGCUCAACCUCGCGCCUGCAGUGGGUACGGGCAGACUAGAGUGCGGUAGGGGAGAUUGGAAUUCCUGGUGUAGCGGUGGAAUGCGCAGAUAUCAGGAGGAACACCGAUGGCGAAGGCAGAUCUCUGGGCCGUAACUGACGCUGAGGAGCGAAAAGCGUGGGGAGCAAACAGG